GGGGCGGGGAAGGAGAGCCACCUCCAAGUGGAGACCCCAACUCGAGCUUCACUGUUCCAAAGCGGUGGGCCAGGCGGCUGGAGAGAAACUCGCUCCCGUGAGGCCACACCCAGGCCUGGCGCACCCACCCCGCGGCAGCAGUGGAGGGCGUCGCCCUCCCGGGCCUUCCGACGCAGACCCUGCCAUCCGGAUGCUGCGGGAAGUAGGGCAUCCUCACGUCCCUGACUCCUCCGGCUCCGCGCGCUCACGGAACCCAAGUGGAGUGGGAAGCGGUCACACAGGCGUGUGCCGUCCCCGAAAUCGUUGCUCCUGUGGUGGUGACCCAAAGCGAGACAAAGCGCCGCGCCAAUACGGGCUGCAGUGAUUGGAACUCAAACACACACAUCUCUCCGCGAAUGUGUUCCAUCCGUGUAAAUAUGCCUGGGUGAUUGAAUGGAUGGCUGAAUGAACGCUGUGUGGAUAGAAAUAUAAAUGUUACAUGUAUAAUACAGGCGCCGGGGAAGGAGAGCUGUCAGGCACCCCCAGGCUGGAGCCUCCUGCCCAGAGGAGCCGGUGGAGACAGGCGGUUCGCCCAGGGCGGUGUUGUUAGCUUGGGCUUUCCAGUUCGAUUUGUGCCACUAUGCAGGAUACUGUGAAGAGAAGAAAAUGGAGACAACUCUUGGCCUCUCAUUUUCCCUCCUCUCUGGUUCAGACACUCUGGCACUAAAAGUUAUGAUUCUCAUGUGCUGUUGAACCUACACUUCCUUGCUGGUCUGUCUUGUUCCGGUGAGAGGCUUUGCAGUCUGUGACCAUGGUGCUAUGAGAUGGUCAGGCAAUAUGAAAAUUAGUGAACGUGCUCAUUUUCAUUUCGUGGAUUCUUCUUAGUAAAAUAAUUAUUUAAAUAGUUAAAUAAUUUAAAUAGUUAAAUAAUUUAAAUAAUUAUUUAGGCUAAAAUUAAUGUGCUGCUACUAUGACAAGGAAGUGCCUAUGAAUCCAGCAUUGGAAAUACAAUUGUGAAAUUAAAAAAUAAAUCCU
rnacentral:lncRNA from 1 species